rnacentral:lncRNA from 1 species
AAAAAUUCAAAAUAUCUUAAAAUUCUUCAAAAUAUAUUUCUUCCCGCCAAGGACCUUUUUACAUCAGACUUUGAAAAUUCAUAAAAGCUAAUCGAACCGUUCACAUUGUUUCAAAUUUCUACAUAAGCUAGAUGCUAUACUUAACUUUUACCACAAACAAAUUGAACCGUACAUCUAUCACCGAUCGUUCGGCAUCUAAGAAACCCUAGCAGGUGCACAAAACACUAACUUACAAGCACCCGAAAACUAUUUUCCUUAUAUCUCUUAAACACAAGCUCCAAAUCACACAAAACUUGUAUAGAAAGCUUUAUAACAAGAUUACACUCAAUCUUGAAAAUUUUGAGCUAAAACCUCAUCAAUUUGUCUAAGAUAUAGCUCAAAUCACAAGCACAAGUAAUUCGGGCUACGUACUACCCUUAGAUAUCAAGCGCUGACUUCAACUGCCAAUAUCUCCUUUAUAAAAGCUUGGAAUUCGAUAAAUAGUAUGCACAAACUGUAGCCGAAAAAGUGUUCUCUUCAAAUCCGGUCGCCGAUCCUCGUUUGCUGUCCGUACGCGUGCGGUAUGCUCAAAAGAGUGACAGUACGUCGAAAACUUACACCUUAACUUUGAGCGCCUAUAACUUCUUCAUAUAAACCCCAAAUGACACAAAUUUUGCACCAAAACCAUAUCCAAAAACCUAAACCUUCUGACCCUAGCCUCUAAAAC